GAGUAACACGUGGAUAACCUACCUAUAAGACUGGGAUAACUUCGGGAAACCGGAGCUAAUACCGGAUAAUAUUUUGAACCGCAUGGUUCAAAAGUGAAAGACGGUCUUGCUGUCACUUAUAGAUGGAUCCGCGCUGCAUUAGCUAGUUGGUAAGGUAACGGCUUACCAAGGCAACGAUGCAUAGCCGACCUGAGAGGGUGAUCGGCCACACUGGAACUGAGACACGGUCCAGACUCCUACGGGAGGCAGCAGUAGGGAAUCUUCCGCAAUGGGCGAAAGCCUGACGGAGCAACGCCGCGUGAGUGAUGAAGGUCUUCGGAUCGUAAAACUCUGUUAUUAGGGAAGAACAUAUGUGUAAGUAACUGUGCACAUCUUGACGGUACCUAAUCAGAAAGCCACGGCUAACUACGUGCCAGCAGCCGCGGUAAUACGUAGGUGGCAAGCGUUAUCCGGAAUUAUUGGGCGUAAAGCGCGCGUAGGCGGUUUUUUAAGUCUGAUGUGAAAGCCCACGGCUCAACCGUGGAGGGUCAUUGGAAACUGGAAAACUUGAGUGCAGAAGAGGAAAGUGGAAUUCCAUGUGUAGCGGUGAAAUGCGCAGAGAUAUGGAGGAACACCAGUGGCGAAGGCGACUUUCUGGUCUGUAACUGACGCUGAUGUGCGAAAGCGUGGGGAUCAAACAGGAUUAGAUACCCUGGUAGUCCACGCCGUAAACGAUGAGUGCUAAGUGUUAGGGGGUUUCCGCCCCUUAGUGCUGCAGCUAACGCAUUAAGCACUCCGCCUGGGGAGUACGACCGCAAGGUUGAAACUCAAAGGAAUUGACGGGGACCCGCACAAGCGGUGGAGCAUGUGGUUUAAUUCGAAGCAACGCGAAGAACCUUACCAAAUCUUGACAUCCUUUGACAACUCUAGAGAUAGAGCUUUCCCCUUCGGGGGACAAAGUGACAGGUGGUGCAUGGUUGUCGUCAGCUCGUGUCGUGAGAUGUUGGGUUAAGUCCCGCAACGAGCGCAACCCUUAAGCUUAGUUGCCAUCAUUAAGUUGGGCACUCUAAGUUGACUGCCGGUGACAAACCGGAGGAAGGUGGGGAUGACGUCAAAUCAUCAUGCCCCUUAUGAUUUGGGCUACACACGUGCUACAAUGGACAAUACAAAGGGCAGCGAAACCGCGAGGUCAAGCAAAUCCCAUAAAGUUGUUCUCAGUUCGGAUUGUAGUCUGCAACUCGACUACAUGAAGCUGGAAUCGCUAGUAAUCGUAGAUCAGCAUGCUACGGUGAAUACGUUCCCGGGUCUUGUACACACCGCCCGUCACACCACGAGAGUUUGUAACACCCGAAGCCGGUGGAGUAACCUUUUAGGAGCUAGCCGUCGAAGGUGGGACAAAUGAUUGGGGUGAAGUCGUAACAAGGUAGCCGUAUCGGAAGGUGCGGCUGGAUCACCU
rnacentral:rRNA from 2 species